UACAGAGGUCCCGAGCGUUACUGAGAAUCACUGGGUUUAAAGGGUGCGUAGGUGGCACGUUAAGUUCGUUGUGAAAUCCCUGGGCUCAACCCAGGAACUGCUUCGAAUACUGGCGUGCUUGAGGCCGGUAGGGGUCACUGGAACAGACGGUGGAGCGGUGAAAUGCGUAGAUAUCGUCUGGAACGCCGGUGGUGAAGACGGGUGACUGGGCCGGUUCUGACACUGAGGCACGAAAGCGUGGGGAGCGAACGGG
rnacentral:rRNA from 1 species